rnacentral:rRNA from 1 species
GCCUACGGGACGCAGCAGUCGAGAAUCAUUCACAAUGGGGGAAACCCUGAUGGUGCGACACCGCGUGGGGGAAUGAAGGUCUUCGGAUUGUAAACCCCUGUCAUGUGGGAGCAAAUUAAAAAGAUAGUACCACAAGAGGAAGAGACGGCUAACUCUGUGCCAGCAGCCGCGGUAAUACAGAGGUCUCAAGCGUUGUUCGGAAUCACUGGGCGUAAAGCGUGCGUAGGCUGUUUCGUAAGUCGUGUGUGAAAGGCGCGGGCUCAACCCGCGGACGGCACAUGAUACUGCGAGACUAGAGUAAUGGG